rnacentral:rRNA from 1 species
CACAUCACGAAAGUGAAUUGUACUAGAAGUCUGCAGGCUGACCUGAAAGGGAGGCAGCGGCCCAAGGUAUGAUCCAUGAUUGGGGUG